UAAUACGUAGGUGGCAAGCGUUGUCCGGAAUUAUUGGGCGUAAAGCGCGCGCAGGCGGUCCUUUAAGUCUGAUGUGAAAGCCCACGGCUCAACCGUGGAGGGUCAUUGGAAACUGGAAGACUUGAGUGCAGAAGAGGAGAGUGGAAUUCCACGUGUAGCGGUGAAAUGCGUAGAGAUGUGGAGGAACACCAGUGGCGAAGGCGACUCUCUGGUCUGUAACUGACGCUGAGGCGCGAAAGCGUGGGGAGCAAACAGGAUUAGAUACCCUGGUAGUCCACGCCGUAAACGAUGAGUGCUAAGUGUUAGAGGGUUUCCGCCCUUUAGUGCUGCAGCUAACGCAUUAAGCACUCCGCCUGGGGAGUACGACCGCAAGGUUGAA
rnacentral:rRNA from 1 species